AUGAAAUUAGUUUAUUUAAAAUACUAGGUUGUGGGCUUAGAGAAAAAUAUUAUUUUAUUUCAUU
rnacentral:tRNA from 1 species